rnacentral:rRNA from 1 species
AACGAACGCUGGCGGCAUGCCUAACACAUGCAAGUCGAACGAGACCUUCGGGUCUAGUGGCGCUCGGGUGCGUAACGUGUGGGAAGCUGCCCUUAGGUUCGGAAUAACUCCCCGAAAGGGGGGCUAAUACCGGAUAAUGUCUUCUGACCAAAGAUUUAUCGCCUUUGUAUGGGCCAGCGUUGUAUUAGCUAGUUGGUAGGGUAAAAGCCUACCAAGGCGACGAUCGUUAGCUGGGCUGAGAGGAUGAUCAGCCACACUGGGACUGAGACACGGCGCAGACUCCUACGGGAUGCAGCAGUGGGGAAUAUUGGACAAUCGGGGGAAGCCUGAUCCAGCUAGGCCGCGAGAGUGAUGAAGGCCGUAGGGAUGUAAAGCUCUUUUACCCGGGAUGAUAAUGACAGUACCGGGAGAAUAAGCACCGGCUAACUCCGUG